rnacentral:misc_RNA from 1 species
GUAGUCUUCAAGGCUUCACUCUUCUUGAUUCAAGAUCUGAGUUAUUGAAUGCAAACAAAAAUUGUUUAACGUCAGUGCCAUUCACUUGUGAAUGGCACCUUUUUAGAGUAGAUUGCUAAAAACCAGUAUGAAUAGUGUUCUCAUGGAGUAUGCGUGAAUUUGGUUUGAGAGCUGGUUCUGAUUCUUCGUUGUUGUCUUAGAGACUUUCAAAUUGUAAAAUCAAGUCCUAUUAUUAGAUUUUGUUCAAUUAUGAACUUCCAU